UGGGGAAUCUUGGACAAUGGGCGCAAGCCUGAUCCAGCCAUGCCGCGUGGAUGAUGAAGGCCUUAGGGUUGUAAAAUCCUUUCGUUGGGGACGAUAAUGACGGUACCCAAAGAAGAAGCUCCGGCUAACUUCGUGCCAGCAGCCGCGGUAAUACGAAGGGGGCUAGCGUUGUUCGGAUUUACUGGGCGUAAAGCGCGUGUAGGCGGGUCGUUAAGUUGGGGGUGAAAUCCCGAGGCUCAACCUCGGAACUGCCUUCAAAACUGGCGACCUGGACCUAAGUAGAGGCAAGUGGAAUUGCGAGUGUAGAGGUGAAAUUCGUAGAUAUUCGCAGGAACACCAGUGGCGAAGGCGACUUGCUGGACUUAUGGUGACGCUGAGACGC
rnacentral:rRNA from 1 species